CUCCAGGCAGGCUCCAGCACACACAGCUGCCGCCGAUCCUCUCUCACCUCUGCUCUCUUGCUUCAUCUCAAGUCAACCUUCCGCAGCUGAUGACAUUCUUCUGGCAUGGGAGCAGCGCCAGCUGAGGGGCUGCCAGCACCUCCUAUCAGCCCUGACCCUUCCACUCUGGGGGGAGGGAACACACUCUCAGGUCACUGUUGGCCUCCAAGGAUCAACUGAGAAUAAAGCCCAAGUUCUCCAGCCUGGCAUUCAAGGCUCUUCACACUCAGACUCCAGCCUAUUUCUCUGGCCCCACUACAGGCACUUCACAUAAUCUGCACAGAGACUCUAUAACAGUCUCUCAUCAUCAUCUCCAUUUGCCCAACAUCACACAGCUGGCAAGUGGAGCUGGAAUAUGGACCCAGGUCCCCUGGAUGCCAUCCUGCUGUGUCAUGAGCGAUAAGCACAGACUGCUGGAACACAGUCCAUUCACCAAAACUGUGCCUUCCAAACAGUAAGGGUGUCAAUAAUGGGUGGAGGGGAAAGUGUGAAGAGGAACCAGGGCAAGGAACUUGGAAGGUGAGGAUUGCGUAUGCUGGUCUAGAAGCUCUUAUUUCACUCUCAGGACAACCCUCCUGGAAUUAUCAUCUCCGGUUAGAGUUGAGACACCUUCAUUCAUUUCAGCAACUUUAAGGAAUUUACCCAUGGUCAAACAGAAGUCCCUGUCAGAGCCAGCAUUUGACUGCAAAAUCAGCUGGCAGGCAGGCAGCACUGUCCCUCUGCAGAGUGGCACCUACAAAGUCCUCAGUCCCUCGUUUCCACCGCAACCCAGUGCUAGCUCCCUCUCUGAGCACCUGAAAUUACCUUUGCUAAUCAGGACUUUGCAGUUAGGCGUAUUUUUGUAAGACUCCUGUUAGAAUGAAAAUAUGUUACCUGGAAAGAGAAGCAUGUUGGGCGAAUGGUUUCUGACCUCCUAUAGAGUUGGCAAAAUUGUGUGUGUGUACGCAUGAGUGUGUGAUCUGAAGGGCCCAGGUGCCCAAAUACCAUUAGAGACUAACUCCUUUGUCUCCAUCUGCUGAAUCUGCGUGCUGAAUGGGGUGUGUGUGUAGAGGAACUUUCCUAGAAAAAAUAAGGAUGGAAGCCUGGAAUCAGGGAGGGCAGCCUGAUGAUGGGUCACCAUGGGGAAGCUCUUUCAUGAGUGCCCUGGAAGGCAGCACAGGAAAUAACAUGUUAGGAUGGGAGGAGGAUUCCAGAGAAGCAGGCUUUAGGUUGGGUGGUCCACUUGCAUUGCUUUGUCUCCAGGAAAGUUGCUUUCCCCUAACCUGCGACCUGGCUUUCCUUCCCUGUGAAGAGAGGGGUGGAACUAGAGGCUUAUACCCUGCUCCAAGACCCUGCAGCCCAACAAAAGGCCCAUUUUCCCUUUGUUAGUUACUCGAAUGCCAGAGAGAAGGGCUCCCUCUUUUCAUGCUUCCCCAGUCCAGCUGGGGCAGAAUCAUGAGGGCUGCAGAGGACGCUGCUGGGACAAGACCUCCUCUAGGGGGGUCCUGUAUCCCAUGCCUAUUACUGGCCUGCUGGGGCCAGCCUGUCUUCUGACAGCUGUGUCUCCCACCAGCACAGUUAAUUUGCUGCCGUUCCUGGGAUGUGACAGCAACUUGAAGCAAAGCAAUUAGGAUGAAAAAGAGGCCCCAGCUCCUUGAGGCCAAAGGAAAAUAAACAGAGCAGCCCUGUGUGUAUUCCGCCGCCAAGAGGAGCCAUUCUUCAAGGGAUGAUUAGCAUUUCUAAUCCCAGCUUCCUCCCUUCCCUUGAAAGAAAAGUGACCGGUGAGCGGCUGCUCUUUUCAGAUCCCACUCUUCCCAAGGUGGACUGCAAACUUGACAGCUCGUCACCUCCACAGAAAAGUCUUCCCUGGCCACCUGCCACAGCCCUGCCAGAAAUGAUACUCCUGUCCUCUGAAAUCUGAGAGCCUUUCUCUGUACCUUUCCUAUGGAGUUUCCUUGAUUGACUGAUCAAUUCAUUAAUGCAUUCUUUCAACAAACAUCCGUUGAGUGCCAUUCAUUCAUUCAACAAAUAUUUCUUAAGUCCCUACUAAAUAAAUCAUCUCUUAAGCUGC
rnacentral:lncRNA from 1 species